AAAGCACUUACCUGUGUGGUUACAUUCUCUUGCAAAGGGAAGUUCUCUUUCACUUCUGCAGUAGGUAGCUCUUCUGCUAACUCAGGAUUUAUUGUUAUUACAUCAUCAAUCUCAAUCUGCAAGAGCAAAGGGAAGAUCUGACAGAGUAAAAUAUCACUGCUAAAGACUUCUUUUAGGACAGGCCAACAACCCUGAGCCACCGUUUGCCAAGCCUUAAGUUAAAACUGCCCUUAAGGGCAAGACGACAGUUGAUUGAGCAGCCCACAUCCAACCGUGCUAGAAGAAAUGUGCCGGUUAUGCCAUUUACCCUCAUCUGCCAAACACCACGCAGCUCUGCAGGUGCCAUAGGACAGCUCUGUGAGCACAAAAGACAGGCAAAGCCCAUCAAGUGCUUUUAAUCUCUUACGGCUAAUCUUAGUAAAUCUCAGCGACUUCUGCGCUGGCAGAGCAUUAAGAGGUGACUGCGUGCUUGCGCUUACUGAAAUAAACUUCAGACUCGUGCUUACUGAAAUAAACUACUUAGACCUGGGGAAAUGAAGGGUUCAGCAUUUAAUCCACAAGCCAAAGCACCUGCAUUCUCAGCGACGAUCGCAAACGAGUCCAUGUAGCUCCAGCUGUGCCUCCUGCCCGCCCCACCCAGCGGUCACAAUCCGUGAGCCCGUGCAGCCCCCGCCUGUCCCAUCACAAUCCGCAGCGUUCCACAGCAGCGGGGCAGUGCCGAGGGCCGCAGCCCUCCCGUUCCAGCUGCUCUAACCCUGAACGGCACGCGUGCGAAAGCGACUGCGGUAUCACAGCAGCUGGCUUGGAAUGCACCCGCAGAGGCAGCGCCUGAGCAGCAACGUGCAGGGGAACAGGAGAGCAGGGACCGCGGUGAGUGCAGGAGGGCCGUGCAGGCAGGCCGGGCACGGCAGCCCAGCAGGCGAUACAGGGCUGAGAGCGGCCCUGCGCGCCGCAAACCCCGCGGCCGGAGCCGUAACGCCGUGCCGAACAGCGGCUAAGAGCAGCAGCGCCGGCCCCUCACCUCCUUGCCCUUGACGACGCCCGCCUCGCACCACUCCACCGACACGGAAGACUGCUGCAGGUUCACCUCCUUCACCGUCGCUUUGUGGAUCAGACCUGGAAGGAAAGAAAGAAAGAAGUCAGGAAGGAGCCGCGAACGCCGCCGCCCAACCCCGAGGCACAGACCCCCGCCGCCCCCCGAGCCUUCCUCCGCCGCCCACCGUUGCUGCGCUGGAUGUUGACAACGCGCCCAGGGCAAACGUAGCGGUAAACCCGCGGGUCCAUAGCGCGGCGCUCCCGGCCCAGCAGCGGCACGCACGGUCGGGCAACGGCCGUUCGUUUAAACGCCGCGCGCCGCGGGGCCUACCGGGAGAACGCGGCGGGGGGACCACGAGUCCCAGCGUGACUUGCGCGUGGGGAGGGGGAGGGGGGAGGCGGCGCGGUGCAGGCCGGGAAGUGUAGUUCGGAGCGAAGGGGCAGCAGCGCGCAUGCGCAACCGCCGCGGUGCGGGACGGGUUGGGCGUUGUCUGUAGCGGGGUUCUGUGCUGCGCUGAGCGGGCGGGGAGCGUAACGCUGUUCUUCGUUCUGCUAUUGGGCAGCAGUGAGUAGGUCCGCCAAAGCGGAGCUCCCGAUAAUCCCACGACACUCAAAAGAUGCCACGACAUUCGUGCUUGUUCUGCUUCUCACCUGCAAUGGUGAGAGGCUCCACCGAAGGGAGGCCUCCAAAAGCCCCACGGCACUCGCGCUCGCCCUGCUGUAAUCCAGCAGUAGCACAGCCGGGCUAAGGGGAGGCUCCAAGAGCUCCACCACACUCGUGCUUGUUCUGUCAUUAACCACAACAGGGAUAGCUCCGCCGAAGCGGAGCCUCAAAAAAUUCCACGACACUCGUGCUUGUUCCUCUCCACGGAAAUCUUUAGUAAAAGGCGAAAGAUUUAUACGAUCU
rnacentral:lncRNA from 1 species